GCGAGAGUAGCACAGUGGUAGUGCAUCUGCCUUCCAAGCAGACUACGCGAGUUCGAUUCUCGUCUCUCGCUCCA
rnacentral:tRNA from 3 species